UCGAGUGAAAAGGCAGUCUUCGAGUGUAACUGUACAGAGGCAGAAGCUUGUACAUGGACAAUGGAAAUGGUAAAAGGGCCGUUUACCUCGAAACCACCGUACUUUGGAAAAGUGUGACGGUGGUCAUACCUAAUGACACCGUCAUCGGAUACGAUUUCACGUAUUUGCACGACGCGUCCAGCGACGCGUUACGCAUUUUUACCGAUUAAUUAUUUGCUCGUUUGAAACUUUUUCUUUUCUUUAUUGUCUCUUCGCGUAGCAACAUCGAGGAUGCAGAAAUUUAAGAAAAUUGAAAAGAAUUUUUUCAAAAGAGGAGAUAAAAAGAUUAUACAUGCAAAUAUAAUUAUUGUAUUGUACAAUAAUGUAUAUAAACAAUACGUAUCGAAGAUAUACCGAGUGAAAGUGAAAAAGGAAAGAAUUUCUUCAGAGAUGUGAUUAAUACUCGGAAGACGGGCGAUUUUCCAGCCUGAAAACUGAUCAACCGGCAAUAUUUAAGCAAUGAAGAUAAAUAAGGCGUAGAAGUGAUCCGUCUUCUCGCUUCAUUAGGUUGCAUUCAUCCAUUUAGCGAAAUUGACCAACUGACGUGGCUCACGACGAUUAUCUUGUCAGCUGCAGACCUUCGAGUAUCCACCCCCUGAGCAUUCGUCAGCCUGAAUUUUAAUUUAACCCUGCUCACCUCUCCCCUCUUUUUAAUUAAUUUCACUUCGCGCCAACUUCGUGGGUGGGCGCGAUAUCUCUUUAAUUUUAAUAAUUCACCAUAAUUUAUUGGCUGAAACUGCUGAAAUUUUUUAAGAAUCAUCCCUUAUUGAUUGAAAAAUUCUGAAGAAUAUAAGCCUUGGACCUUUUUUUUUUCUUUCCUUUUUUUUACUUAUAUAGGAAAGAAAAGUUUGAAAGAAGAAGAUGAAGUCGUCACAAUGGUGCUUUGGUGUUUCCAUGAAUAGCCGCAAGAUGUUCCAGAAGAAAGGAGGAAACGUUCAAGGAGGAAGCAGACAGAUGUCGCCAAAAAGAAAGAAAAUGGAGGACGAUGGUUAUUCAUCGAGUUAUUCAUGGAUUUAUUAAAUUCAAAUUCAAUAUCGCAAUCACCCCUUUACCAUCAGGGAGGAACAGGAAGAAGAGGAAGAAAAAGAAAAGAUACAAAAGAUCAAGAAAAAUAAUAAAAAGAUGGCCGAAAAAUACAAAGAAUCUCUUCGUUUCCAAGAUUCAAAAGACCAUCUAAAGAGAAGAGCAGAGGAAGGAACGGAAGGCGGAAGAAGCAUUUGAAGGGGAAGUGAAAGAGGAAUUGGCGAGGGAAGAAAAACAAGGAAGGAAAUGGGAUCGCGAUGGACGAGAGGACCACUUAUUUUAGGCCCCUGUUUCGCAGAAGGAAUACACGUUUCUUUGAGAGGAUGUCUCAAAACAAUUCCAUCCUUCCCGAGAAACAUCACACGAACAAGUGACGGUGACAAGAGAGAACAGGGCCAUUGAAAACCAUCAGUUUGAAUGAAAGCACGAGAGAAGCUGAGUAAAAAGAGCACGAGCAUUCAUAACAUCCGGUUCGUUGGAACGUUCGAAACAGUAUAGCCGACCAUGCAAAAAUUCUCUCUCUUUUCCUGUCCUGUUCCGGCUCUUACUCUCAAGGAACUCGAAAACCAGAAUAAAAAUCCAGUUUUAAAAUACAACCGUGUUUACAGCGGUUAUAGCGCAGCAAGCCACGAUUCUGUAUUCGAGUGCGAGAAAGCUUGUCAUCAACUAGACUAUUGAUCGAUAAUAUCUAAUCAUUUUCUUUUCCUGGUUGCACUUUAAUUUUUGUUGGAUUAAAGAACGAGUUUCCAAACAGUAUCGUUCCAUAAAAUAUAAAAUUUCAAUUUUAGAAAUGCAUUUGGAAGAUAUAUUUGACAUUCACUUCCUCUUUCUAUUCUAGAUGUCGCUAGCUAUCGAAGAAAAAUAUCUCAUUCGAAGAAAAACUUUUUUAGAGGUUAUAUCCUUUUACAAUCCUUUUAGAAACUGAUGUGCACCCACAGAAACGACCUUCUCACGUUCGAAAAACUCCGUAUCUCUUCUUUUACACUAGCUUCAGGGCCGCAACAAACAUAAUAAAAAAAUGCUUCCUUCCGUUCCGUCUGCGGAUCCUGCAUCUGGCUCUCGAAGCCGCCGAUUCCAUCGGCCAACUCUCAUCUCUCCUCCGAUAUUCAACCUUUCUCCUCUUUUCUUUUCUUCGCCGAUUCCUCCAUCUCCCUUCAAUCACUUUCAACCUUCUCCCUCUUUCCAACUUUGCCCCAAAGUAAAUUUUCGAGAGCUACCUUCUGGCGCGCGAAUAACUGGCCUGCUGUUGGUGAACCCCCUUGUUUCGACUCCUUCCUUCUCCAGGGGCUAUCCUUAUCUAAGUGGACAGCAUCCAAGGCUGCUCCAAUCUGUGGAACGGAGUGUUUUAGGUAGGCAGAACCCGCGGGGAUCGAUCGUCAGAUGGGUGGCCGAUUCCACGCCCACGAACGGCCGGGAGGCGUUUAGGGUGGAAGAUAGGAAAUUUUGAUAUUGGUACCUUGAUUUUAGAUCCAGGGCGCCUCGAUUUUAUUCCCUACGAACCUCAAAAUCUUUUCGCUUCUUUAUGUUGGCAUCUGGUAUGUUGAUUAUUAUUGUUUUAGUAAAUUUAGGUUAUCUUCGAGGCUUGAUCUCGAUUAAACUUAGGAUAAUCCUGUUUUGGAGAUAUUGAUUUUUAAUAAGAAAUUAAUAUUUAUUAAGAAUAUAAUGAAAUAAAAAUUCAUUAUAUUUCAUUUACAUCUGUAUAUUAACGCGACAUUAAAUAUUUAA